rnacentral:piRNA from 2 species
GUCUACGGCCAUACCACCCUGAACGCGCCCGAUCUCGU